UAGCUCUUUAACAAUUUGGAAAGCUGACUGAUUUAAAUAACAGAGUUAUUUAAAUCAAAUUAAAAGUUCUCAAUGUUUAUCUGCUCUUAUUUAUUAAGAACAGUAAACACAACACAAACACAUUCAAGUGUCUUGUAUUCGAAUCAAUGUUUACAUUGAUUCACCAUUGAGUCCGGCAAACACGUAAUAAGAAUUAACCCUUCUUGUUACAACCAAAAACCUUGGUUGUUUACCAUACAUGAAGACCUCUUCGGGUUGUAU
rnacentral:misc_RNA from 1 species